CUACCCUUGACAUGCCAGGAACCUUGCAGAGAUGCGAGGGUGCCCGAAAGGGAGCCUGGACACAGGUGCUGCAUGGCCGUCGUCAGCUCGUGUCGUGAGAUGUUGGGUUAAGUCCCGCAACGAGCGCAACCCUUGCCAUUAGUUGCUACGAAAGGGCACUCUAAUGGGACUGCCGGUGACAAACCGGAGGAAGGUGGGGAUGACGUCAGGUCCUCAUGGCCCUUAUGGGUAGGGCUACACACGUCAUACAAUGGCCGGUACAGAGGGCUGCCAAAGCGCGAGCUGGAGCCAAUCCCAGAAAACCGGUCGUAGUCCGGAUCGCAGUCUGCAACUCGACUGCGUGAAGUCGGAAUCGCUAGUAAUCGCGGAUCAGAAUGUCGCGGUGAAUACGUUCCCGGGUCUUGUACACACCGCCCGUCACACCAUGGGAGCGGGUUCUGCCAGAAGUGGUUGGCCUAACCGCAAGGAGGGCGUCCACCACGGCAGGGUUCGUGACUGGGGUG
rnacentral:rRNA from 1 species